UUGGCCAAAAAGUUCAUUUGGGUUUUUCUAUAAGGUGUUAAGGAAAAACCCUGAACGGAAUUUUUGGCCA
rnacentral:miRNA from 1 species